ensembl:lncRNA
ACACACACACACACACAGACACUAAUCCUGUGCUUUCUACUGUGUAUAUGAGACAUUUAAAACAGUGAUUGUAUGUUAAUACACACUAAAAAAUCUUUUGUUUAAUACGUACUAUAUAUUUUUUAUUUUUAGUUAAUGUCAUUCUUAUUGUAUGUUAUUAUAUAUAUUUUUUGGAGUUUGGCACCUGGAUGAAGGUUCUAAAUCUGUGAACUCUUCUUUGUACAAUACUGUGUAAAUAGUGUUCUUUUUUUACAAAGCAACAAGUGUAUUUAUUUCCAGGAAAUGUCAAUUUGUUGUUUGUUGGGGAUAUGUUCUGCCCCGAAUGCAAUGCUGCCUAUACAAACGUUCGCACAAUUCCAUGGUCUAUUGCACAGAACAAAACAAAAACACAAUCUGAGUCGGAGAUAAACAUUACGCUUACAUUUUGUUCAGCCAUCUGUCGCUCUCAAUUUACUAUUCAUUUCAAAUCACUAGCCCUGUUUCCCCCCCCCCUCUCUCUCUCUCUCUCAAUGUAUAUGUAUAUGUGUACAUAUAUAUCUCUCUCACUCUCUCUUACUUUUUGCAAACGCGGGGUGGUAAAUCUGUACAGAUCCGGGAGACCCAAACCUUUCAUGGGAAUUGCAAAAUAUCCUCAGACUAUGCUCAGCCAUUUUAGUUAUGACCUUAAUGUAAUGAAUAACCGUUGUGUGCAGAGUCCAGCUGUAAUUCAAAUGAUGAAGCUACAACAACAAGCCAAACCUUACAGCCGUCCAUUUCUAUUUACGGGCCAAUGGUAUCCUCCUAAAGCCAUGACAUAAAUCUGAUGUAGAACUUGGAGAUUACCCGAUUCCAAAACAACUCUCUUCCUCCCAAAAAAACGUCUGCUCACCGCAUAAAGGUGCACGUGAAAAGAGAAGAGAGCAACAGCUAUACCGAAAUAGAGGGAACAGAUACUUGUGUUUGUUUUGUGUGCUAAACAUCUUGAUCGUGGCAGUGAAGGGCCUAUUUAUUGAACUCUGGUGGAGCUGCAGUCUAUACGUCAGGAAUAAAAAUGUGUCCAUUCAUAACCAUGUUUUACUGCUGAACAAUAAACUACAAGAGAAAUUA